CCUACGGGCGGCAGCAGUGAGGAAUAUUGGUCAAUGGCCGGAAGGCUGAACCAGCCAAGCCGCGUGCGGGAAUAAGGCCCUCUGGGUCGUAAACCCCUUUUGUCAGGGAGCAAAGGCGCCAACGUGUGGACGAGAGGAGAGUACCUGCAGAAAAAGCAACGGCUAACUACGGGCCAGCAGCCGCUGUAAUACGGAGGUUGCGAGCGUUAUCGGGAAUUAUGGGGUUUAAAGGGUGCGUAGGCGGGGUGUCAAGUCAGCGGGAAAAGUUCGGGGCUAAACCGCGUCGUGCCUUUGAUACUGGCUGCCUUGAGUGAGUGAGAGGUAAGCGGAAUGCGUGGUGUAGCGGUGAAAUGCGUAGAUAUCACGCAGAACGCCGAUGGCGAAGGCAGCUUACCGGCGCUCAACUGACGCUGAGGCACGAAAGUGCGGGGAUUGAACAGGAUUAGAUACCCGGGUAGUC
rnacentral:rRNA from 1 species